rnacentral:piRNA from 1 species
UAGUAUUGGCUCCUAGCUUCAGCCC